CCUACGGGACGCAGCAGUGAGGAAUAUUGGUCAAUGGGCGCGAGCCUGAACCAGCCAAGUAGCGUGAAGGAUGACUGCCCUACGGGUUGUAAACUUCUUUUAUAAAGGAAUAAAGUGAGGCACGUGUGCCUUUUUGUAUGUACUUUAUGAAUAAGGAUCGGCUAACUCGGUGCCAGCAGCCGCGGUAAUACGGAGGAUGCGAGCGUUAUCCGGAUGUAUUGGGUUUAAAGGGAGCGUAGGUGGGUUGUUAAGUCAGUUGUGAAAGUUUGGGGCUCAACCGUGGAAUUGCAAUUGAUACUGGCAGUCUUGAGUGCAGUUGGGUUAGGCGGAAUUCGUGGUGUAGCGGUGAAAUGCUUAGAUAUCACGAAGAACUCCGAUUGCGAAGGCAGCUUACUAAACUGCCACUGACAUUGAUGCUCGAAAGUGUGGGUAUCAAACAGGAUUAGAUACCCUGGUAGUC
rnacentral:rRNA from 1 species